AUUGCCCCCACAGGCGUUGCAGGCUGGCAUGAUGUGCCAUGCUUGUGUCAUUGGGUGGCAGAGAUUAACCUGGCUGUGUCUGUGUGAUUUUAUGGGCCUGUGGGU